rnacentral:lncRNA from 1 species
AUUCACUACUAACGGGCGCCCACUACCUUUCUCUCUCUGAGACGCGGCUUGGCCAAGCCAGCUGGCUCAAUCGGUGCCGAUCUUCGCCGGAAUCGCGCCGGCGGGGGUCUAAUUUGAUAGGGAAGAUUGUCAUUAGCGAUUAUUUCCAUCUAUUUCAAGCUGAAAUCAGCUCCCUGUUUUCGUUUGCUUAUAAUCUCUACUAAUUCCGUUCAAUUUUUUAUACAAGGGGUAAGGGCAUAUCAUUGCUCAACAAGUCUCGCAGGGGUUGGUUGAUUGAGCGAGCCAGUGGUGGAGAAACUAAACUUCGGCGAGCAACUGUCGGACCCCAAUAUCGACAUGGGGCUGCUCAACGAUAUGGGGCGAUGAGGCAAGGGUAGUUUAGCCCGUUCAUUUCCAGAUACACGUGGAGGAAAUUUCAAUCAGCAGACGGUCGAAUUACACUCGAUCAAGCAUGGGAUGAGGAAGGCAUGGAUUGAAGUCGUGGGGUAGAGAUCCAUCUGCGAAAUCCAUACAUAUGCUGGGGUGAUUGAAAAUAACUCAGUUCCUUUAUCUAUCUCGAUUCUUCUUCUCUUGGUGUUGGAGCAUAAUAUUAAUGGCUUGAACAUAAGAGUAUGAGGUAACUUGUUUGUUGCUAAUGCUUGACCUUUAUUGUUUGUUUUAGAACAAUCACUCAUAUGGGAUUGCUCAAGUUACUUGCUAUUGUUUUAUUUAAACCUGAUAUAUUUGUACUGACUUAGUACUGGCGAAGGAAUUUGCAUUGUCCAACUUGUUAACUUCAUCAUUUGGGGAGUGGAGCUUGUAAUUUGGCUUGAGACCUUAUGUGCCAAUUGCGAAUUCAAAGAAGAAUUAAUUGGGAAUCAUGCUAUGACAUUAUGUCUUUGGUUCGUUCAUUUUUUAACGGGAUAUAUAAUGAUGUGAUUCGUGGUAACAAAUCAUUUAUUUUGGGAUGAUAUAUUCUGAUGGGAUACUUAGCCAAGUGAUUUUUCACCGUGCGUUGAGUUUGGGCAUUGUUUAUGAUGGGCAUUGUUUAUGAUGCUACAUUCAUGUGUUAGCUUAUGUGGAUAUUAACG